rnacentral:rRNA from 1 species
AACGUAGGUUCCGAGCGUUAUCCGGAUUUACUGGGCGUAAAGCGCGUUUAGGCGGUUUGGCAAGUCGGGCAUGAAAUCUCUCGGCUCAACCGGGAGAGGUUGUCCGAUACUUCCAGACUUGAGGGCAGUAGAGGGUGGUGGAAUUCCGGGUGUAGUGGUGAAAUGCGUAGAUAUCCGGAGGAACACCAGUGGCGAAAGCGGCCACCUGGACUGCACCUGACGCUGACACGCGAAAGCUAGGGGAGCGAACGGG